GGCAUGCGCUCCAUUAGGUAGUUGGUAUGGGUAAUGGCCUACCAAGCCAUCGAUGGAUAGGGGAACUGAGAGGUUUAUCCCCCACACUGGUACUGAGACACGGACCAGACUCCUACGGGAGGCAGCAGUGAGGAAUAUUGGUCAAUGGUCGAGAGACUGAACCAGCCAAAUCGCGUGAAGGACGACGGUAUUAUGUAUUGUAAACUUCUUUUAUAAGGGAAUAAAGUUAGGGACGUGUCCUUAUUUGUAUGUACCUUAUGAAUAAGCAUCGGCUAACUCCGUGCCAGCAGCCGCGGUAAUACGGAGGAUGCGAGCGUUAUCCGGAUUUAUUGGGUUUAAAGGGUGCGUAGGUGGAAAGGUCAGUCAGCGGUGAAAUCCAGGAGCUCAACUCCUGAACUGCCGUUGAAACUUCCUUUCUUGAGUGUGAACGAGGUAGGCGGAAUUCGUAGUGUAGCGGUGAAAUGCAUAGAUAUUACGAAGAACUCCGAUAGCGCAGGCAGCUUACCAGGCCACAACUGACACUGAAGCACGAAAGUGUGGGUAUCAAACAGGAUUAGAUACCCUGGUAGUCCACACAGUAAACGAUGAAUACUAACUGUUUGCGAUAUACAGUAAGCGGUACAGCGAAAGCGUUAAGUAUUCCACCUGGGGAGUACGCCGGCAACGGUGAAACUCAAAGGAAUUGACGGGGGCCCGCACAAGCGGAGGAACAUGUGGUUUAAUUCGAUGCAACGCG
rnacentral:rRNA from 1 species